rnacentral:rRNA from 1 species
CCUACGGGAGACAGCAGUAGGGAAUAUUGCUCAAUGGGGGAAACCCUGAAGCAGCAACGCCGCGUGGAGGAUGAAGGUUUUCGGAUUGUAAACUCCUUUUGUUAGAGAAGAUAAUGACGGUAUCUAACGAAUAAGCACCGGCUAACUCCGUGCCAGCAGCCGCGGUAAUACGGAGGGUGCAAGCGUUACUCGGAAUCACUGGGCGUAAAGAGCGCGUAGGCGGGAUAGCAAGUCAGAUGUGAAAUCCUAUGGCUUAACCAUAGAACUGCAUUUGAAACUGUUAUUAUAGAGUAUAGGAGAGGUAGGUGGAAUUCUUGGUGUAGGGGUAAAAUCCGUAGAGAUCAAGAGGAAUACUCAUUGCGAAGGCGACCUGCUAGAACAUAACUGACGCUGAUGCGCGAAAGCGUGGGGAGCAAACAGGAUUAGAUACCCCAGUAGUC